UACGGGGGGGGCAAGCGUUGUUCGGAAUUACUGGGCGUAAAGGGCUCGUAGGCGGCCAACUAAGUCAGACGUGAAAUCCCUCGGCUUAACCGGGGAACUGCGUCUGAUACUGGAUGGCUUGAGAUUGGGAGAGGGAUGCGGAAUUCCAGGUGUAGCGGUGAAAUGCGUAGAUAUCGCUUGGAACGCCGACGGCGAAAGCAGUCUGCUGGGGGCCUUCUGACGCUGAGACACGAAAGCCAGGGGAGCGAACGGG
rnacentral:rRNA from 1 species